rnacentral:tRNA from 1 species
GGGUGCUGUGGCUCAGUUGGUUAAAGUGCCUGUCUAUUAACCAGGAGAUCCUGAGUUUGAAUCUGCAUGUUCU